GGAUGAACGCUAGCGGCAGGCUUAACACAUGCAAGUCGAGGGGCAGCACGGGUAGCAAUACCUGGUGGCGACCGGCGCAAGAGUGCGUAACGCGUGAGCAACAUGCCCUAUACAGGGGGAUAAUCCAGGGAAACUUGGUCUAAUAUCCCAUAGUAUUUAGAGGAGGCAUCUUCUAUAAAUUAAAGCUUCGGUGGUAUAGGAUUGGCUCGCGUGACAUUAGCUAGAUGGUGAGGUAACGGCUCACCAUGGCAAUGAUGUCUAGGGGUUCUGAGAGGAAGGCCCCCCACACUGGGACUGAGACACGGCCCAGACUCCUACGGGAGGCAGCAGUGAGGAAUAUUGGACAAUGGAUAGAAAUCUGAUCCAGCCAUGCCGCGUGCAGGAAGACAGCCCUAUGGGUUGUAAACUGCUUUUAUAUGGGAGCAAUAAGGUCUACGUGUAGACUGAUGAGAGUACCAUAUGAAUAAGCAUCGGCUAACUACGUGCCAGCAGCCGCGGUAAUACGUAGGGGGCGAGCGUUGUCCGGAAUGAUUGGGCGUAAAGGGCGCGCAGGCGGCCUGUCAAGUCAGUAGUGGAAGUCCAUUUUUCAAGGAUGGAAGUGCUAUAGAAACUGAUGGGCUUGAGUGCAGGAGAGGUUAUCGGAAUUCCCGGUGUAGCGGUGAAAUGCGUAGAGAUCGGGAGGAACACCAGUGGCGAAGGCGGGUAACUGGACUGCAACUGACGCUGAGGCGCGAAAGUGUGGGGAGCAAACAGGAUUAGAUACCCUGGUAGUCCACACUGUAAACGAUGAAUGCUAGGUGUAGGGGGUAUCGACCCCUUCUGUGCCGAAGUAAACACAAUAAGCAUUCCGCCUGGGGAGUACGGUCGCAAGAUUAAAACUCAAAGGAAUUGACGGGGGCCCGCACAAGCAGCGGAGCAUGUGGUUUAAUUCGAAGCAACGCGAAGAACCUUACCAGGUCUUGACAUCCAUCUAAAGCUGCGGAGACGCAGUGUGAGCAAGCUCGAGAUGAGACAGGUGGUGCAUGGUUGUCGUCAGCUCGUGUCGUGAGAUGUUGGGUUAAGUCCCGCAACGAGCGCAACCCUUGCCGGUAGUUACUAACGGGAAGAGCCGAGGACUUUACCGGGACCGCCGGGGACAACUCGGAGGAAGGUGGGGACGACGUCAAAUCAUCAUGCCCCUUAUGACCUGGGCUACACACGUGCUACAAUGGCCGAGACAGAGGGUAGCGAAGGCGCGAGCCGGAGCGAAUCUCAAAAAAGCGGUCACAGUUCGGAUUGCGGGCUGCAACCCGCCCGCAUGAAGCAGGAGUUGCUAGUAAUCGCGAAUCAGCAUGUCGCGGUGAAUACGUUCCCGGGCCU
rnacentral:rRNA from 1 species